rnacentral:rRNA from 1 species
UAGGGAAUAUUGCACAAUGGGCGAAAGCCUGAUGCAGCAACGCCGCGUGCGCGAUGAAGGCCUUCGGGUCGUAAAGCGCUUUUCGGGGAGAUGAGGAAGGACAGUAUCCCCGGAAUAAGGAUCGGCUAACUACGUGCCAGCAGCCGCGGUAAAACGUAGGAUCCGAGCGUUAUCCGAAUUCACUGGGCGUAAAGCGCGUGCAGGCGGUCCGGUAAGUUGGAUGUGAAAUCUCCUGGCUCAACUGGGAGAGGUCGUUCAAGACUGUCGGGCUAGAGGACGGUAGAGGAAGGUGGAAUUCCCGGUGUAGUGGUGAAAUGCGUAGAUAUCGGGAGGAACACCUGUGGCGAAAGCGGCCUUCUGGGCCGAUCCUGACGCUCAGACGCGAAAGCUAGGGGAGCAAACGGGAUUAGAAACCCCGGUAGUCCUAGCCGUAAACGAUGUAGACUAGGCGUGGGUGGGUAAAAGCCAUCCGUGCCGAAGCCAACGCGAUAAGUCUACCGCCUGGGGACUACGGCCG